rnacentral:rRNA from 1 species
GAGUUUGAUCAUGGCUCAGAUUGAACGCUGGCGGCAUGCUUUACACAUGCAAGUCGAACGGUAACAGGGAGCUUGCUCCGCUGACGAGUGGCGAACGGGUGAGUAAUGCGUCGGAACGUGCCGAGUAGUGGGGGAUAACGCAUCGAAAGGUGUGCUAAUACCGCAUACGAACUGAGGUUGAAAGUGGGGGACCUUCGGGCCUCACGCUAUUCGAGCGGCCGACGUCUGAUUAGCUAGUAGGUGAGGUAAAGGCUCACCUAGGCGACGAUCAGUAGCGGGUCUGAGAGGAUGAUCCGCCACACUGGGACUGAGACACGGCCCAGACUCCUACGGGAGGCAGCAGUGGGGAAUUUUGGACAAUGGGCGCAAGCCUGAUCCAGCCAUGCCGCGUGUCUGAAGAAGGCCUUCGGGUUGUAAAGGACUUUUGUCUGGGAGCAAAUACCCGGUGUUAAUAGCGCCGGGGGCUG